GGCUCCAUAGCUCAGUCGGUUAGAGCGCCGUGCUAAUAACGCGGAUGUCGUGGGUUCGAUCCCCCCUGGAGCCA